AGUGUGAUUGCUGGAUCACAUGGUAAAAGAAUGUUUAGUUUUUGUAAGAAACCACCAAACUAUCUUCCAAGGUCUUUGUGUCAUUUGACCUUUCCAGUAGCAAU
rnacentral:pre_miRNA from 1 species